rnacentral:rRNA from 1 species
UAAUACGUAGGAGGCGAGCGUUGUCCGGAUUUACUGGGCGUAAAGCGCGCGCAGGCGGCACACUAAGUACGAUGUGAAAUCUCCCUGCUCAACGGGGAGGGUGCAUAGUAAACUGGUGAGCUAGAGGACGGUAGAGGGGGGUGGAAUUGCUGGUGUAGCGGUGAAAUGCGUAGAGAUCAGCAGGAACACCCGUGGCGAAGGCGGCCCCCUGGGCCGAACCUGACGCUGAGGCGCGAAGGCUAGGGGAGCGAACGGGAUUAGAUACCCCGGUAGUCCUAGCAGUAAACGAUGGCCACUAGGUGUGGGGGGUGUUGACCCCUUCCGUGCCGAAGCUAACGCAUUAAGUGGCCCGCCUGGGGAGUACGGUCGCAAGACUA